rfam:Schistosoma mansoni, Puerto Rico, WGS project CABG01000000 data, contig: 0097
AUACAUCUGAGGAGUCUCAAAGAGGACGAAACGCGCAUCCUGGAU